GUCAGAACCAAAGAGCUGAAUGGGUUGGUGCUUAUGGAAGCUGUUGCUGGAACCAUUGAUGCUUCUGGAGUUAGGAUGUCGAUCAGAUCAUAUGAAUCAGCACCACCAGCAUUUGCAGUAAGGAACCGAGCAAGCUUUUUCUGGUUGCAGCGACACUGGUCCACAAGCUCAAGCAUCACUUCUCGUUUGUUUGGCUGUAUCAGAAGGGUAUAAAAUGUGUAUAUAUUGUUAGCUGUUUAACAGGUGGUGUGUAUGCUGGACUUGUAUCAGCUGGGCGUUCAGGGAAUUGUACUCCAGCUCUCUGGCAUUAAUACAAGCUUCUUAGCAAUUUAUCAGGUUUGGAUGUGGUUCUCAAAGCAUAACGUUUGUUUCACAAAUAUGAUAUUUCGACCAGGUUUUGAGAAUGUAUCUGCCGCUUAUUUCAUGAAUAAAUAAAGUAGAGAAUGCAUAUGGCCGGA